GCCUCCCGGCGCCGCGGGCCCCUUCUGGGCCUCGGGUUCGCUUCCGCCCACGGCCGGCCGGGAAGCGGUGUCCGACGCCCGGAGGGCCCCGCGCGUGUCCCCGCGGCCG
rnacentral:misc_RNA from 1 species